CUACGGGUCGCACCAGUGGGGAAUAUUGCACAAUGGAGGAAACUCUGAUGCAGCAACGCCGCGUGGAGGAUGACACUUUUCGGAGCGUAAACUCCUUUUAUAUAGGAAGAAGAUGACGGUACUAUAUGAAUAAGCGCCGGCUAACUCCGUGCCAGCAGCCGCGGUAAUACGGAGGGCGCAAGCGUUACUCGGAAUCACUGGGCGUAAAGAGCGUGUAGGCGGAUUAAAAAGUCAGAAGUGAAAUCCUAUAGCUUAACUAUAGAACUGCUUCUGAAACUCUUAAUCUAGAAUAUGGGAGAGGUAGAUGGAAUUUCUGGUGUAGGGGUAAAAUCCGUAGAGAUCAGAAGGAAUACCGAUUGCGAAGGCGAUCUACUAGAACAUUAUUGACGCUGAGGCGCGAAAGCGUGGGUAGCAAACAGGAUUAGAUACCCCUGUAGUC
rnacentral:rRNA from 1 species